GGGUACCCGCCCGGUCGCCGCGUUCGCCCUUCUGCGGAACGGCGAGGCGCGCGGGGGCUUUUCCAGGCCGGCUUCUCCUUUCCUUUCCUUUCCAAAUCACCGCUCGAUGUAUUCGCACCCGGAUCCUCCGCGAGGCCGCAGUCAAGGCGGGAAGAUGCUCAGCAUUUCAAGUGGAUCCAGUGUUACGCAAGACAGACAACCAGAGUCCCUACACAGAAUCGCACAACCAAGUCCACCCGCUGCUGAAUGCAGGAUGACCGUCUGACUGCCUCUUGGGCGCCUCCAAUGUGGGAGAGCCAUCAACCCCGCCAAGGCCGCCCUUUCGAAAAGGUGUUCCCACUUGCCUUGGCUUCGGAGUCGAGCCACGGCUGUUUUCUCGAAGAGGGGGGAAAUGGGGUGUUGAGAGAUACGGGUGGGAAGGAGACAAGCCCUCCCUCGCACAAGUCACCCAUCGAGCUGUCCUUUGACUGGGCCCAGCAUCCAGGGCGUGUGUGACGCAUAACUAUUUUGAUAGAGGGGGAGACUCAGUUUUGCCAGGAGCGGUGCGAUUCUCAAAGCUUGCUGUGUCAGACACCUGUGUCCCAAGGUAAAAACAGCGGCUGCCACCAAACCAACCCUUGCUUAGCUUCCUCGGGAGUACAACUCCAGGGAGCUGCUGAUUAGAAUCCGAUUAGCACUGCCGGUUGCUGAUGCUUCAGUGUCCAAGCCAGCAAUCUGUAAACGCAGCCAGAAAAAUACUACCUCCACCAAGUGCCUGCCAACAGAAGAGGCUGAUGGCUUGCGCUCUGCAUGAUUAAUUGCUCUCGGCCUGCCUUUUUUCCAGCCAGACCCAACUGGGUCAAAGUUUGUCCUCUCCUGUCAGGCCUUGGCCAAGGUCCGAGAUCAGCUGUUGAUGGGAGUCCGGUUGCAAAGCAGGCAGACGGCAAGCCGAGAGACAGAGGAGGAGAUGCGGCCCAUGCCAAGCCGGUGAUCGGAGUCAACAGGUGGGCCAGGCUAGGUGUUCAGCUCAGCUGCACAGAGCCCAGCCAGGCUUCCAUGAGCUCUGCAGGCCACCUGGUCCGGCUCACGACGCCUUCCCUGGCCAUUAGAGGGGUGGCAGGGAAGACCCCACCCGUAACCCUUUCCACCCACAAGCCCCCUCCGAGAUGCCAGUGUCCCUGUUGCAAGGCUUGUCGCUGCACUGAGAACAAGGAGCAAACUGCCUACCCUGAGAGCGGCACUACCUGUUGCACCUGCCUCGGUCACUGGCAUGGGCUUGCCGAGAACAGAUGCACACACCUGGCCUCCCCAGGAGGUGAGUUAAUUGCUCCUUACACAGGGAGAAUGCCUUGCACCUUGAGAGGCAUUUCCCAUUCUUUGCAGCUUUUUAUGCUGCUGACGAAGGCCAAGGAAAGAGGGCUUUCCCCGUGGGAUGCCAAGAUGGAGCACUGGAACCCGGGACCUUCUGCAACAGACGAGGGCAUCGCCAUGGAGCUCUGGUCCCCUCAUUGCCAGCUCUGUUGGACGGUGCAAUGCAAACACACAUUAUCCUCCAAGUUCAGGUCCACUGGAGUCAACAGCUGGGUUCAGACAACACAAUAACACUCAAGGGCUGAGUGUGGGUUUUCCUUGAA